GGUGCUGUAGCUCAGUGGUAGAGCAUUUCUUCUCUAGGAGCUACAAAGUCCUAGGUUCAAUUCCUAGCACUG
rnacentral:tRNA from 1 species